UGUAGCUCAGUGGUAGAGCAUAUGGAUCUUAGGAACAGUGGAAGCUGCCUUAUCCCAAUUUCUUGGUCCUUCUGACCAUGUUCCAAGCCCUAGCUAGAGAUGCUGCGGAUUGAAUCUGAGACCUUUUGCAUGCAAAGUAGAUGUUCUGCCACUGAGUUCUGGUCCCGAGUUAAGGUCCCGGGUUCAAUCCCCAGCGUCUCAU